rnacentral:rRNA from 1 species
UACGUAGGGGGCGAGCGUUGUCCGGAAUCAUUGGGCGUAAAGCGCGUGUAGGCGGCCCGGUAAGUCCGCUGUGAAAGUCCAGGGCUCAACCCCUGGGAUGCCGGUGGAUACUGUCGGGCUCGAGUCCGGAAGAGGCGAGUGGAAUUCCUGGUGUAGCGGUGAAAUGCGCAGAUAUCAGGAGGAACACCAAUUGCGAAGGCAGCUCGCUGGGACGUAACUGACGCUGAGACGCGAAAGCGUGGGGAGCAAACAGG